UUAAGCGACUAAGCGUACACGGUGGAUGCCCUGGCAGUCAGAGGCGAUGAAGGACGUGCUAAUCUGCGAUAAGCGUCGGUAAGGUGAUAUGAACCGUUAUAACCGGCGAUUUCCGAAUGGGGAAACCCAGUGUGAUUCGUCACACUAUCAUUAACUGAAUCCAUAGGUUAAUGAGGCGAACCGGGGGAACUGAAACAUCUAAGUACCCCGAGGAAAAGAAAUCAACCGAGAUUCCCCCAGUAGCGGCGAGCGAACGGGGAGCAGCCCAGAGCCUGAAUCAGUGUGUGUGUUAGUGGAAGCGUCUGGAAAGGCGUGCGAUACAGGGUGACAGCCCCGUACACAAAAAUGCACAUACUGUGAGCUCGAUGAGUAGGGCGGGACACGUGGUAUCCUGUCUGAAUAUGGGGGGACCAUCCUCCAAGGCUAAAUACUCCUGACUGACCGAUAGUGAACCAGUACCGUGAGGGAAAGGCGAAAAGAACCCCGGCGAGGGGAGUGAAAAAGAACCUGAAACCGUGUACGUACAAGCAGUGGGAGCACGCUUAGGCGUGUGACUGCGUACCUUUUGUAUAAUGGGUCAGCGACUUAUAUUCUGUAGCAAGGUUAACCGAAUAGGGGAGCCGAAGGGAAACCGAGUCUUAACUGGGCGUUAAGUUGCAGGGUAUAGACCCGAAACCCGGUGAUCUAGCCAUGGGCAGGUUGAAGGUUGGGUAACACUAACUGGAGGACCGAACCGACUAAUGUUGAAAAAUUAGCGGAUGACUUGUGGCUGGGGGUGAAAGGCCAAUCAAACCGGGAGAUAGCUGGUUCUCCCCGAAAGCUAUUUAGGUAGCGCCUCGUGAAUUCAUCUCCGGGGGUAGAGCACUGUUUCGGCAAGGGGGUCAUCCCGACUUACCAACCCGAUGCAAACUGCGAAUACCGGAGAAUGUUAUCACGGGAGACACACGGCGGGUGCUAACGUCCGUCGUGAAGAGGGAAACAACCCAGACCGCCAGCUAAGGUCCCAAAGUCAUGGUUAAGUGGGAAACGAUGUGGGAAGGCCCAGACAGCCAGGAUGUUGGCUUAGAAGCAGCCAUCAUUUAAAGAAAGCGUAAUAGCUCACUGGUCGAGUCGGCCUGCGCGGAAGAUGUAACGGGGCUAAACCAUGCACCGAAGCUGCGGCAGCGACGCUUAUGCGUUGUUGGGUAGGGGAGCGUUCUGUAAGCCUGUGAAGGUGUACUGUGAGGUAUGCUGGAGGUAUCAGAAGUGCGAAUGCUGACAUAAGUAACGAUAAAGCGGGUGAAAAGCCCGCUCGCCGGAAGACCAAGGGUUCCUGUCCAACGUUAAUCGGGGCAGGGUGAGUCGACCCCUAAGGCGAGGCCGAAAGGCGUAGUCGAUGGGAAACAGGUUAAUAUUCCUGUACUUGGUGUUACUGCGAAGGGGGGACGGAGAAGGCUAUGUUGGCCGGGCGACGGUUGUCCCGGUUUAAGCGUGUAGGCUGGUUUUCCAGGCAAAUCCGGAAAAUCAAGGCCGAGGCGUGAUGACGAGGCACUACGGUGCUGAAGCAACAAAUGCCCUGCUUCCAGGAAAAGCCUCUAAGCAUCAGGUAACAUCAAAUCGUACCCCAAACCGACACAGGUGGUCAGGUAGAGAAUACCAAGGCGCUUGAGAGAACUCGGGUGAAGGAACUAGGCAAAAUGGUGCCGUAACUUCGGGAGAAGGCACGCUGAUACGUAGGUGAAGCGACUUGCUCGUGGAGCUGAAAUCAGUCGAAGAUACCAGCUGGCUGCAACUGUUUAUUAAAAACACAGCACUGUGCAAACACGAAAGUGGACGUAUACGGUGUGACGCCUGCCCGGUGCCGGAAGGUUAAUUGAUGGGGUUAGCGCAAGCGAAGCUCUUGAUCGAAGCCCCGGUAAACGGCGGCCGUAACUAUAACGGUCCUAAGGUAGCGAAAUUCCUUGUCGGGUAAGUUCCGACCUGCACGAAUGGCGUAAUGAUGGCCAGGCUGUCUCCACCCGAGACUCAGUGAAAUUGAACUCGCUGUGAAGAUGCAGUGUACCCGCGGCAAGACGGAAAGACCCCGUGAACCUUUACUAUAGCUUGACACUGAACAUUGAGCCUUGAUGUGUAGGAUAGGUGGGAGGCUUUGAAGUGUGGACGCCAGUCUGCAUGGAGCCGACCUUGAAAUACCACCCUUUAAUGUUUGAUGUUCUAACGUGGACCCGUAAUCCGGGUUGCGGACAGUGUCUGGUGGGUAGUUUGACUGGGGCGGUCUCCUCCUAAAGAGUAACGGAGGAGCACGAAGGUUGGCUAAUCCUGGUCGGACAUCAGGAGGUUAGUGCAAUGGCAUAAGCCAGCUUGACUGCGAGCGUGACGGCGCGAGCAGGUGCGAAAGCAGGUCAUAGUGAUCCGGUGGUUCUGAAUGGAAGGGCCAUCGCUCAACGGAUAAAAGGUACUCCGGGGAUAACAGGCUGAUACCGCCCAAGAGUUCAUAUCGACGGCGGUGUUUGGCACCUCGAUGUCGGCUCAUCACAUCCUGGGGCUGAAGUAGGUCCCAAGGGUAUGGCUGUUCGCCAUUUAAAGUGGUACGCGAGCUGGGUUUAGAACGUCGUGAGACAGUUCGGUCCCUAUCUGCCGUGGGCGCUGGAGAACUGAGGGGGGCUGCUCCUAGUACGAGAGGACCGGAGUGGACGCAUCACUGGUGUUCGGGUUGUCAUGCCAAUGGCACUGCCCGGUAGCUAAAUGCGGAAGAGAUAAGUGCUGAAAGCAUCUAAGCACGAAACUUGCCCCGAGAUGAGUUCUCCCUGACCCUUUAAGGGUCCUGAAGGAACGUUGAAGACGACGACGUUGAUAGGCCGGGUGUGUAAGCGCAGCGAUGCGUUGAGCUAACCGGUACUAAUGAACCGUGAGGCUUAACCUU
rnacentral:rRNA from 3 species